rnacentral:rRNA from 1 species
AUUGAACGCUGGCGGCAUGCCUAACACAUGCAAGUCGAACGGGAGUAAGGGGCAACCUUUACUUUAGUGGCGGACGGGUGAGGAAUGCGUAGGAAUCUACCCUAAAGCGGGGGAUAACUCGGGGAAACCCGAGCUAAUACCGCAUGUGCUCUACGGAGUAAAGUCGGGGACCUUCGGGCCUGACACUUUAGGAUGAGCCUACGUCGGAUUAGCUAGUUGGUGGGGUAAAGGCCUACCAAGGCUACGAUCCGUAGCUGGUCUGAGAGGAUGACCAGCCACACUGGGACUGAGAUACGGCCCAGACUCCUACGGGAGGCAGCAGUGGGGAAUAUUGGACAAUGGGCGAAAGCCUGAUCCAGCAAUGCCGCGUGUGUGAAGAAGGCCUUCGGUUGUAAG